rnacentral:tRNA from 1 species
GGAGAGUUGGCUCAGCGGUUAAGAGUACCAGCUACUCUUCCAGAAGACCUGAGUUCAAUUUCCAGACUCUCCA